CUCUGCUUCUCAAUUUUCUGACAAAGCCGCCAUCUUUGUGCUGCAGGAAAGCCGUUUGAGAUAUUGGUGAAAUUCAAACACUUUGUGAGAUGACAGAAUAUUGCUGAAGGAUCCUACAUGGAAGCUGGCUGAUUACACGGAGUGAUUCCUCUGGUGUGGUGUACCUCAGAGAAAUAAACACUGUUGCAAGAGCUGAGAAGAUGGCCAAGAUAUCCUUAUUGCUGGAUGGUAGCUCUGGUCGUAGUGGACCAUAUCUGCAAAUGCUUCUGAACAUUGACAGAAUUUCUAAAGAUGACUGAGAAUAUUACUGAAGGAUCCUACAUGGAAGCUGUCUGAUUACACUGAGUGAUUCCUCUGGUGUGGUGUACCUCAGAGAAAAUAAACACUGUUGCAAGAGGUCACUGCUACUGCAGCAGAUGUCGCAAGUCUUUCUCUGCCCAACGCCCCAAGGCUGUUUGCACUUGGUUCAUUCUCAGAAUAAACCCAGAGGGCUCCAAAUGCCAGGCCAAGUCCAUCACCAGCAAGAAGACCGGUAAAAAGGUGCAAAGGAAGAGCAGCAGUGUCAACCCUGUUGUUGCUUCAUUCAUCAGGGAACUUGUUGAUUUUGACUGGCUGAAUUAUUAAUGCUUGACCUUUUGAAGUUCCAAUCACUUGUUUCUUUUAAGUAGUUCAGUCCGAGCAUUGCACCAAAGGCUCGAGGCCCUGUUGUUCUUGCUGUGUUUUCCCCCCUUCUCCCCGUUUCAAAACUUAUUUGGCACAGUUUUUCGAUAUUGUGUCAUGUAUAAGACUUUUAAAAGAGUGACUCUAUUGCGCACCCUAGCACAGAGAUGUUCGGGGCUGGAAUAUAGUUAUAGUUAUAGAAUAUAGUUGAA